GCUGAAACCCCUAUCAUCUGAAAGCCAGCUAGGCUAAUGCCAUUUUAUCUGUGGAUUUAAAUUUUGCUGAGAUUUUCAUCAUGCCUACCUCACUUUAAAAGGAACAUGGGCAAACAUAUUGCUGAAAAUAGAAAGAAGUAUAGGCAAAAGAAGCGUGAAGAAAAACGACGUGAGAAGCAGAAGAUGAAAAAAAAAUAUUACAUAUCACAAUAUAAUUGUUGCAAUGCCUCAUCCUGUCCGUACAAGUCAUCAUCUUCAGGAUCUUCCCUGUCACCAUCAUUGACAUCUUCAAAUUCAUCAGACUCGUCGUCGAUAGUAACAAAAUCAAAGGCAACAGAAAACAGACCCCUGAUUACGUUUACGUCAGAUCCCUUGUAUGUAAGAUUUAUGGAGUACACCAUGUUAAAGAAAAGAGUAGCUGCUAUUGAGGACAGAGAAAGUCGCUAACGGGAUCACUACAUCAAAUACAAAUUACCGGAUCACCAGGACCAUCGCAGAUAAUUGUCACAUUGAACUUUCUUCAGUUAAUGAUGAUUUGAAUAUAUUAAUAAGAUUUUAUAUAUUUUGGUUAUCCUAAAAAUGGCAUCUGCUCAAAAAUGCCCUCGUAAAGUUUGUAACAAUUGUAAAUUGGAGCUUUCAGACAGACAUUACUGUCGCCAUGUCACAAAUUGUACCUUUAACAAUUUUCUAUCAAUUGACCAUGAGGAAAGUACAUUAAUUCAAAAUGAAAAAGUUCAACUACCAGUACAUUCCAGUGACAGUGAUACUAAUUUGAAUUUUCCAAGUGAAAAUAAUAGCAUUACCUAUGAAAAUUAUGUUUCUAAAAGAUCACAUCAUGAUCAGUUUAACAAAA